UAGUCAUAUGCUUGUCUCAAAGAUUAAGCCAUGCAUGUCUAAGUAUAAGCACUCGUACUGUGAAACUGCGAAUGGCUCAUUACAUCAGUUAUAGUUUAUUUGAUAGUACCUUACUACUUGGAUACCCGUGGUAAUUCUAGAGCUAAUACAUGCGUCGACUCCCGACUUCCGGAAGGGAGGUAUUUAUUAGAUCCCAAACCCUCCGGGCCCCGCGCCCGCGCGUUGGUGAUUCAUGAUAACUGCUCGAAUCGCACGACGUCUUGUCGGCGAUGGUUCAU
rnacentral:rRNA from 1 species